CGUUAGUUAUUUUAAAGAUGUCUCUCACUGGUAUUUGUACAGUUAAUUAGCACAAUACUUUAGCUUUACACAUUUGCUUUCAGAAUAAGCUACUUUACAUUUGUUGUUCUAGUAGUAGCAUGAUCUUUUAUUUUAAACAGGUGGGCCCAACAUAUGGCCGCAAAAUGAUGAAGGGCUAUCUGUCCACAAAAGGGGUACAUGCUGCAGAGGGACGAAUUGGGUCAAUUUUAAGAGAGGUGCAUCAACCUUAUCAUGAAGCAAGACGCCAGACCUGCAGUGAUCACCUAUGGUAUGUGGGACCAGGUGCGAGUAGACCAUGGAAAGGAAUUUUAUUUAACACUGUUCAUGCAAGAGAUGCUGUCACAUCAUCGCUUCAAUCAGGAGAGACUGCCUUAUUUACAGACCUCAUCCACAAGAGUAAGAUUUAAGUACCAUUAACAUCAGCUGAAAUUCUUAUACUAUUACGUGUACUACUACGUACAUUUAAGACAUGUUUCUUUUAACUCUUUUAGAACCACACAGUUGAAAGGAUUUGGCCUGAAAUCAACAACCGUGUCAACUACCCACUAAAACUGCCCUACUCCAGCUGAUGGACCAGGAGGAGAUAGAUAUGGAGGAUAACCUUGUGCGAUACUGUGUGUCCAAUCUAACCUGUCAGCUGUGUAACAUUGGUCUUGCAAGUGUGGUAGAAUCAUGGAAUGCUCAUAGAAUCCCAGGAAAAGGCAUACCAAAUCACUUUGCAGAACAUGGGUGUAAAAGAAGAAUUUCUCCAGAGCUCUUGCCAAAUGCACUUGAAGCAGCAGACCUUUACAGGCAGCACUUGGGAUCUGCACUCAAAGAAUAUUCGACUUUUGGAGU